rnacentral:rRNA from 1 species
UACGGGGGGGGCAAGCGUUGUUCGGAAUUACUGGGCGUAAAGGGCUCGUAGGCGGCCAACUAAGUCAGACGUGAAAUCCCUCAGCUUAACUGGGGAACUGCGUCUGAUACUGGAUGGCUUGAGUUCGGGAGAGGGAUGCGGAAUUCCAGGUGUAGCGGUGAAAUGCGUAGAUAUCUGGAGGAAUACCGGUGGCGAAGGCGGCAUCCUGGACCGGCAUUGACGCUGAGGAGCGAAAGCCAGGGGAGCAAACGGG